rnacentral:misc_RNA from 1 species
UAACAAGGUUUCCGUAGGUGAACCUGCGGAAGGAUCAUUAAUGAACUUGUGGUUGUUGCUGGCUAGUGUCUCUAGCAUGUGCACACGCACCUUCAUCCCAUUUACACCUGUGCACCUUUUGUAGUA